rnacentral:tRNA from 1 species
GGAUUGUGGCUCAGCGGUAGAGUGCUCACCUAGCACGAGCCGGACCCGGGUUCGAUCCUCAGCACCA